rnacentral:rRNA from 1 species
UACGUAGGGGGCAAGCGUUGUCCGGAUUUAUUGGGCGUAAAGAGCGUGUAGGCGGCUUGGCAAGUCUGCUGUGAAAACUCGAGGCUCAACCUCGAGCUGUCGGUGGAAACUGCCUGGCUAGAGUCCGGAAGAGGAGAGUGGAAUUCCUGGUGUAGCGGUGGAAUGCGCAGAUAUCAGGAGGAACACCUAUGGCGAAGGCAGCUCUCUGGGACGGUACUGACGCUGAGACGCGAAAGCGUGGGGAGCAAACAGG